rnacentral:rRNA from 1 species
GAAUCCCGUCUUUGGCACGGAAACCCCAGGGCUUUUGUGAUGCGCUCUCGAAGAGUCGAGUUGUUUGGGAAUGCAGCUCAAAAUGGGUGGUGAACUCCAUCUAAAGCUAAAUAUUGGCGAGAGACCGAUAGCGAACAAGUACCGUGAGGGAAAGAUGAAAAGCACUUUGGAAAGAGAGUGAAACAGUACGUGAAAUUGUUGAAAGGGAAACGCUUGAAGUCAGUCGCGUCGACCGAGACUCAGCCUUGCCCUUGGCUUGGUGUACUUCUCGGCUGACGGGUCAGCAUCAAUUUUGCCCCUUGGAUAAUGGCGAGGGAAAUGUGACACCUUUACGGUGUGUUAUAGUCUCUUGUCGCAUGCAAGGGUUGGGAUUGAGGAACUCAGCACGCACCUUUGGGUGUCGGGGCUUUGCCCACGAUACGUGCUUAGGAUGUUGGCGUAAUGGCUUUAAACGACCCGUCUUGAAACACGGACCAAGGAGUCUAACAUGCCUGCGAGUGUUCGGGUGGAAAACUCGUGCGCGCAAUGAAAGUGAAAGUUGGGACCUCUGUCGUGAAGGGCACCGACGCCCGGACCAGACCUUCUGUGACGGCUCUGCGGUAAAGCAUGUAUGUUAGGACCCGAAAGAUGGUGAACUAUGCCUGAAUAGGGUGAAGCCAGAGGAAACUCUGGUGGAGGCUCGUAGCGAUUCUGACGUGCAAAUCGAUCGUCAAAUUUGGGUAUAGGGGCGAAAGACUAAUCGAACCAUCUAGUAGCUGGUUCCUGCC